rnacentral:rRNA from 1 species
CCUACGGGAGGCUGCAGUGGGGAAUAUUGGACAAUGGGGGGAACCCUGAUCCAGCCAUGCCGCGUGUGUGAAGAAGGCCCUCGGGUUGUAAAGCACUUUCAGUGAGGAAGAACGCCUGGUGGUUAAUACCCAUCAGGAAAGACAUCACUCACAGAAGAAGCACCGGCUAACUCCGUGCCAGCAGCCGCGGUAAUACGGAGGGUGCGAGCGUUAAUCGGAAUUACUGGGCGUAAAGCGCGCGUAGGUGGCUUGAUAAGCCGGUUGUGAGAGCCCCGGGCUCAACCUGGGAACGGCAUCCGGAACUGUCAAGCUAGAGUGCAGGAGAGGAAGGUAGAAUUCCCGGUGUAGCGGUGAAAUGCGUAGAGAUCGGGAGGAAUACCAGUGGCGAAGGCGGCCUUCUGGACUGACACUGACACUGAGGUGCGAAAGCGUGGGUAGCAAACAGGAUUAGAUACCCUAGUAGUC